rnacentral:rRNA from 1 species
GAGUUUGAUCCUGGCUCAGAGCGAACGCUGGCGGCACGCUUUACACAUGCAAGUCGAGCGAGAAAGCGGCUUCGGUCGCAAGUAUAGCGGCGGACGGGUGCGUAUAACGUGGAUAACCUGCCUUAAGGACCGGGACAACCUUGGGAAACCAAGGCUAAUACCGGAUAUGACCACGAUGUCUGAGGGCAACGGGGUAAAAGAUGACCGUUUACGGUUGUCGCCUUUUGAGGGGUCCACGUCCUAUCAGGUAGUUGGUGGGGUAAAGGCCUACCAAGCCAAAGACGGGUAGCCGGCCUUAGCGGGUGAUCGGCCACACGGGGACUGAGACACGGCCCCGACUCCUACGGGAGGCAGCAGUGGGGAAUAUUGGGCAAUGGGCGAAAGCCUGACCCAGCGAUGCCGCGUGAGGGAAGAAGGCCUUCGGGUUGUAAACCUAUGUCAAGAGGGAAGAAGGGUCUGCAAAUUAACCUUGCGGGCUUGACUGUGACCUCCAGAGGAAGCCCCGGGUAACUCCGUGCCAGCAGCCGCGGUAAUACGGAGGGGGCAAGCGUUGCUCGGAAUUACUGGGCGUAAAGAGUCCGUAGGUGGUCUUGCAAGUUGGAUGUGAAAGCCCGGAGCUUAACUCCGGAUUGCAUCCAAAAUUGUUGACUUGAGUCCAAGAGAGGUUGGGGGGAAUUCCCCGGUGUAGCGGUGAAAUGCGUAGAUUUCGGGGAGGACCCCAGUGGAGCGAAGGCGCCAAUGGGUUGGGCUGACCUUGGGGGACAAAGCUUGGGUACGACCGGUUAAAUCCCCUGG